GCAACACUGAACGGUCUUGUUAUUUUUCCAAAUAACCUGGUGUAUCCCUUGGUUACGCAGGGGAAAACGAAUACACAACAAUACAAAUCUUGCGUUUGAAAUAAUUAAUAAGGCGAUCAAGAUACAACUUAUGGAUAGUCUAGAAGAAUACACCACCGCCGCCCAUACCGUCAACCGGUCCGCUUCCAAAAUCGUAAAUUAAUACGGUUGAAGCGAUCGCAAAAAUUUGUACUCGAUUUCUAGCUAUUCAAAUCCUGGUUACCAAAUACUCCAACUCUGCUUGCGAUGAUACCACUCGGAUUGACAAACCCGGAAGAACUUCUCCAACGGAAGCAACAUGCCAUCAGAAAUCUGUGACAAUGGCUCUAAAACACUCCGUGAGUUUAAUGACUAACUCGGGCAGUGUCAUAUAAAUGAUCCAGUUUCAGGAAGAGUCGAUGUACUGAAAGUAAAACAAAAAUCCACUAAAUGCAAUGGCCGUUGGCAGCCAGUGCGACGUAAAUUUCAUUGAGGUUCAGUAAGAGCUGUUUUAAAUUCUAAUACAUUACACUUUAUGCUUUGUUUUGGACUCAACACGGUUUACCACUCCCGAAAACCAGGAAUCAGUUUAUCCAUAAGCUGUUCAACGCUACCGGAUCUUCGUUGAACUCUCCUUUCUAUCUGG